AAGAAUAAAAUCAACAAGCGUAAAAAAAACUAGAUAGCAAGGUACAAAAAUGGUAAAGUAAAUAGUAAGAAGUUAUAAAAGAUUUAAAUAAAAUAGCAAGCACAAAAAUGAAAAUAUGAAGAUAUGUUAUUCUUAAGUAUCGAACCCAUCCCACUAAAGUAAGUGAAAUUGCUUCCUCUCCACUCGGCCACUUAUGUUCAUUUGUUACCUUAACAACAACUUAAAUAUAUAAACAAGCAUAGAUAAAGAUAAAUUUAAAAUAAAAAUACUAGCUAAAACAAUAUGGGCCUGGGUCUGUGAAGAUUUGUCUCACCAUGAAUGGUCCAAACACAAAAAUAAGCAAAUGAGACUAACAGACCAAAACCCUAGCCGCCUGACUGUUGGGUAUGGACUAUGAAGAUUCCCAACACAAAUAAUUGCUGUCAGUAAUUAAUAAAAGGUUAAUGCAAAAGAAAACCAACAGGUAGACUUAAAGAGGGCACAGUAAAAUAAAAGAUGACAUUAGAUGGAAUAAAGUUAUUCCCAAAACCAUUAAUCAUCACAGAGAAGUAAAGUAAACUUUUUAAACAAAAAAAAAAAAUCAGAAGCUAUAACCAUGGACGAAAGAGGAAGCGGGAGAAGCAAGGGAACGAUCGUCCCUUUCCUUCGAUCAAAAGGUUUUUCGCUCUCAUAAACAAAAUCGAUUUCCUUCUCCACUUACAGUUACAAAGAAACCUUCACAACACGAUUCAAACAUCGGCUAAGAGUAAUAUUCGAGAAUGGCACUAACCAGCUGCAACGAAGCCGGCCAACGAAUGAGCAAGUAAGAGUCUUGCUGAAUCUUCUUCACAGCGUUCCUUUCCUACGGGUUCGUCCGUUAUCAACCACCGCUCACUUUUGGUUAUUGAAAUUUUUAGGGUUUCUCCUCUCUCUUCAGUAGCCGUCAAUACUCUUCUCUAGGGUUUUUUCGUGGUCGUCCUUUGGUGGAGGAGGAGGCUCCUUUUAUACUCCCCCUGUUUAGGGUUUUUGAGCUGGCUAUGUUGAUCAAAAGGGUAAUGCUCUUGGAAGUGCUUUAGGGUGCUCACAGUUUGUCUACAUUAUUCGGUGUUUGAUUUGGAACAGGUAAUACAAAUCCUAUACUUUCUUCUUUGAAUUUGUCCUAAUUCCUUUUUGGGUUAUUUGUUAACUUUUACCACCGGUAAAGGGCUUUUUACCGUUGUGAAUUUAUCGGAAUAUUCAUGUGUGGUUUGAUGCUUGCAGGAGAAAACGUUGAGCUUACGAGCAUGGCUUUGAUUUUUUUUUUGUUGAGGCUGUGGUGUAUGGUCUUUGGAAAAAGAGUUGUGAGAUCCUGUUGAAACUAUAGCAACUUGGGGAGCGAACUGCUGUAUGUGGCCUCCAUUAGAAGAGGCAUUUGAACUGUUGUGUUUGAUUAAUUUCGGGCGAGUUGAUUCCAUAUUGUUUAAAUUUACAUGAUCUUCAACUUGUCACUGCUUUUGGAAAGAGGAAGAAGGCAUGCUUUCCAUACCCUGCGAUUGAGAAACAGAAGAUCCAUCUAACAAACCCUUUGAUGACUCCGAUUUCGUAAAAGCUCUAGCCGAAUCAGACAAUGCUGGCCAAGAGUGUGCAUCCAUAACCGGCCGUACCUCUGAAGCUGCACCAUUGGAGGAAGGCUUAUUCCAAGCAGGUCUUGUGCAUAUAUGUUCAUAGUUGAAGAAUGGUUUCCAAUUUGUCAAACAAAUUUUGAUGGCAGUUCACAAGGUGUCAUCCAUUUAGCUUCUGCUGCACCCAAAAUCCCUGUGCUACUGAAUAUAGAAGCCUUGCAAGAGUACUCAGUUGAAGGUGUGAGGUUUUCUAAUUUGAAUCUUUUCUCGGGCCUCAAAACAAUGAAAGUCGGUUGUUCGGGGUAGUCCGUUGAUGAUAUUCUAUGCCAAAGCCUGCAGCCUAGAAAGUUCUUUAAGAGUUUGUCUUUGUAUUCAAGCACACUGACCAUUGAGGUGGGAAGACACUCUUCGAAAUGUAAAGAACAUGUUGGUGCUUCUUUCUUUUCUUCACAACUAGAAAAGAGUUCAGAAAACUUUAAAUCAAAACAUUCAACUGUAGUAGAGCACAACUUCUGAACCUCAACACCGCAUGAGAGGCUACUCACAAUUCCACGCGUCAUCCUAGCAUAUACGUGAUCCAGAGGUCCCGCUUCAUUCUCCAAUAAUUCGAGAGUGGUUUCUACGAUCUUAUGCACUUCCGUGUAUACUUUCGUUCCUGUGAGAAUUCUGUGGGCUAAGGAAAUUCGCACAGAGAGUAUAUCCACUCUUCUUGCUUCUCUGGCAACCAAUAAUUGCUUUCUCCAUGUCCUCAUUAAUUCAUUAAUUUUUCCACAAGAAACACAACAGAAGCUUCCAUCCAAGGUUACACCGGGACUUCCUUUCAAAAUUCAAGACAUUUGAUUACUCUAAGCACAUUGCAAAUGACACGACAUUCUAUAUGACUCUUCAUUCGGUUUAUCAGAGGUGCAGGUCAACCACAAACUAGGAUCCUUGUUAUCGUUGUAACAACGACAUAUACAACAAGAACAUCUCUUGCAAAAUGAAUCUUCUGGUUUCAGUGUAGCUUUGCAUGCCACAUUCCGACAAACUAAGGUUUUCGUUGUUUCCUCAUUUGUGUUCUCUAUUUGAACAUUACGUAAAUCAAGAGAAGGGGGUCCUUUUUUCCUUUUAUAUCCUACACAACUUUUGGCAGGAGAAUGAGCAAGAGCAUUUUGGUCGACGUACAAGUUGGAUUUCUGAGAAAUUAACUUCAGAAGAUAUUCUAUCAUUUGACCCUUAGUAUAUCCAGUGUACUUCCUUUCUUUGCCUAAUUCAGCACAGAUUAAUUCUAGGAGUUCCCGGCGAGUAAAUGAUUGAAGUAUAUCCGGGGCAUCUUUGGACUGACGAGCAACUUCAUGGACCAGUCUUUGCUUCUCUUGGAAAUUCAUAACACCGCAUUUUGCAGGGUCGAGAAAAAAACCCGUUGUUGGUAACGGUGAAAAGACACAUCUUAUUUUGGUGUUCGGCCAUGAUUAUUGUUGUUGGAAGAACAACAGAGUUUUAUCUGAGAAUAUGUAGCAUUACACUGAAAGAGAGAGAGAGAGAGAAGAGUGUCAUGUAAUUUGAGCAUUCAAUGUCAUGAUGAGUGAUUUGGCAUAUUAGUUGGAAUUAGUUUUCCUUGUAGUUUUGGAGUGUCUGCAGUGUUGGACAUUACUGCUUCUAUUUUCCACUUGCAGCUUUUUUCAAAUGCAUUUUCUUUUAUUUUUUAGUGUAAAUUGCUUAAUGGUUUAAGUGAUUUUGUUCCAAUUCCUAUUUUUUGGUGCAGGAAAUAUGCUACACGCAUGAUGAUUUCUCGCCGCAUGUUGUUCACCGAGAUGUGAAAACAAGUAUCAUUCUUUUGGAUUCAUAAUUCAAUGCAAAAGUUGUUGAUUUCGGUCUCUCCAGGUGACUGAUUAAACCAGAAGAACUUGCCACCCUGCCAACUGUGGCUGGCGCAUUUGGAUACAUUGCCCCAGUUAAAACAAUUUCGAAUUCCCGCUUUCUCAUAAAAUUCGACUAUCUUAAGUUAUUAGAUCUCAAUGUUUAUUUAGUGUAUGAAUUGCAGAAUAUGCUCAAACAAUUAGAGUCAAUGAGAAGAUAGAUGUUUACAGCUUUGGAGUAGUUAUUUUGGAACUGACAAAUGGAAAAGAAACUAAUCUAAAAAAAUGCCAGCCGGUAGACCAUCAAUGAAGGAAGUCUUGAAGAUAUUGAUCGGUUGCAGAGAUCCACAAGCAAGCCAAUGCAGAGAAGAUUGUUGAUAUUCAUGAUGAUGCUCCAUUCCUUAAGAACUUUGAUAGUGUGAUAAAACGCAUGCACGUUUGUAACGAACUUCGAACUGAUUUUUUUGACUAACAGUUACAGCUCCAUGUUUUCUCUUUUGAAGUGCAACAUUCACAUCAAACUUUAAAGAAAAUAAAUCCACAGCUUAAUAAACUAUGAAAAUUUGCUUCAACCUUCUCUUUGUUACUCUGUUCAAAUAGCCAACAAAUGAGAAGCUUAUAGGAUUCUAGAUGUGUUAAAUGAUUACAGUCCAUCAUAGAAUCCCACAAUCUCAAUGCUUCUUCGUGCAUUCCAACCUUGCAGCAACCACUUAGAAGAGAAAUAUGAAUAAUUUCAGAUGGAGAUAUUCCAUUUUCUCUCAUAUGGUUUAAUAACCCAAAGGCUACCGACAAGUAUUCCAUUUUGCGAAGUCCUAUGAUAAGCUUGUCGUAAGUCUUAAUGUUAGGCACACAACCACGUUCCAUCAUUUUCUCACAGAGCGUGGUUAUGAUUUCAAAGUCAGUUAUCCUCCAUAAAUCGGCAUUAUCAAUUGAAACAUUAUGUUUUUUUAACCAUUAGAUGCUUUAUUAGAAUGGAAUGUGUUUGAAUCGAAGGCUCACAACCUGUAUCAAACAUGCGUCCGAGAACACCAAAUGCAUUGUCUAGUUGUCCUAUACAUCCAUAAGCACUCAUUAAUAAAUUAUAGACCGUGCAGUCGGGUACUAUGCCUUUCUUCUUUAAUCUUGACCACCAUCUCUUCGGGCAUCGUAAUCUUCCUUGGCAGCAGACACACCGAAGUGUGUAGAAGUUACAAGUUUAGAACCUUUUAGGACUUGAAAUGAAAAACGCUCGUUGUGAAUGAGCAAGAAAAUGACGCUUUCAUGAAAUGAUGGUUGUGAGUGGAUGGAUGUGAUAAAAAUGAAUGAAGUAGCUGAAACAUGAAUGAGCAUGCAUUAGAUAUGGAAGCUUUCCAAUGUGAAUGAAAAAUGUGAGUGCAAAUUGAAUAUGACUUUUAUAGAAAUAUGAGAUGGAAUAUAGAUGGAAUCUCUUUGAAUUAAGAUCGAAAGGAAAAAUGAUGUUCUAUGAGAGAGACAAAACAUGGAUUGAAUUUAGACAUGAGAAUGAAAGUCAUGACAUUCCAAAUGAUUCUAUCAAAAUACAUCAAACAUCUAAAGCAAAAUAGAGAGGUAAAAAUCUAAUAGUCAUGGGAUGGCAAGUAGUGGCAAUUUCUAAACAACCAGUGUAGGUGGAUAGAUUCAUGACCGGUUGAAAUGGUCAUGAGGAGGAAAGAAAAUGAAUGAUUGAUGAAAAAAAUUCCAGGUCCAAAAUCAGGGUAUAAGAGUUGCCCAUAUUUAAACAUCCUCCACCAGAGGAAAAUGAAACAGCACUUUUCAUCGGAUCAGAGUGGGGGAUGGUUAAAUACUAUGGAGACCCAGAUUUUGAUCCUGAAAAAUGCAAAUGUUAUGAUAUGAUAUGCAUGGAUGCAGGAUUCUUUAUUUUUUUGAAUUUACCCGUUAGGGACACGGUGAAUCCUUAACAGGAGAUGUUACCGGACAGACCAAUCUGUGGGGAACUCUGAUGGCCCACAGAGAGAUAAAUACCAUAGGGUAAAACAAACCGCUGGGGAUAAUAAUCCUACUAGAGAGUCAGACACACAACAUGGGAGUACUCAAAGUGAAAGUUGACAAACGACACUUUGAAUACAAGAGAUUCCAGCAGUAAGUUCACACAUGACUUACUAAACCCGAAUAAAAAAAAUUCUACAACAGGUUCAUACAUGACUUGAUAACGCUGAAACAAUCAUAAAGAAGGAUUCUUCAAAACAGGUUCAUACAUGACCUGGUAAUACUGGAAUGAAAGCUCAACAGCAGGUUCAUACAUGACCUGACAAUGCUGGGGAAUAUCAAGAAGUUCUGACAACAGGUUCAGACAUGACCUAACAAACUCAGAAAAACUCAAAAGAGUAUAUCAACAGGUUCAUACAUGACCUGACAACACCAGGAAAUUCAAAGGAUUUUCAACAACAAGUUCAAACGUGAUCUAACAAUACUUGAAUAUUCAAGGAAUUUUCAACAACUGGUUCAAACAUGACCUGACAGUGUUAGGGGAUAUCAAAAAGUUCUGUAAACAGGUUCAAACAUGACCUAACAGCAUUGGAAAAUUCAAAGCAUUUCGACAAUAGGUUCAAACAUGACCUAAGAAUAUUAGAAAACCAAAGAAUUUUUAAUCAAGAGGUUCAUAUGUGACCUCAACACUUGGAUAUUCAAAGAAAGUUUCACUCACAGAUUCAUACAUGACCUGACGACACUUAGUAGAAAAACAAAGGGAGUUUUAUCAACAGGUUCAUACAUGGCCCAACGACACUGGAAAAUUCAAAGAAAAUACAUCCAUAGGUUCAUACAUGACCUGACAAUAUUGGGAAACACACAAAGCAAGUUUCAUUAACAGGUUCACACAUGACCUGACACCUUAGAGUACAUCUGACAAUUCUGGAGAUUUCUCACAAGAAAUUCAAAGAUUUUGGAGAUUCCUAACAGGGAAUUUAUGAAAAACAAAGAUAAACAGGAGUCUUCUUAUAAGUAGAUCAUCCGUGCAAAAGGCUAUGAUGAUUCUUUACAAAGAAAUCAAACAAAACCAACAUCAUUAGAGUUUUCUAACAUGAAAACCUCCAAGCUUCUGGGAAUUCCUCAAGAUGAUGAGUCAUACAUGACUUUCACGGAACCAUCAGGAAAGACAGGGUAAUUAAACUCUCUGUACGUGCCAAACAACAAUUGGACUUUUAACCGUAAGUAAUGGAUUACAACAUCACGGAACCAUCAGGAAAGACAGGGUAAUUAAACUCUCUGUACGUGCCAAACAACAAUUGGACUUUUAACCGUAAGUAAUGGAUUACAACCAACUUUUAACGGAUAGGUGCCAACAACAAUUGGACCUUGACUGUAAGCAAUGGAUUACAACCAGCUUUUAACAGAUUGGUGCCAACAACAAUUGGACUUUGACUGUAAGCAAUGGAUUACAACCAGCUUUUAACAGAUUGGUGCCAACAACAGUUGGACUUGAAAUGAUGUUGGCAACAACCAAACUUCAGAUAUCAAUUACAAAUGUAUUUACAAACAGACUGACAAUGAUGCCAACGAUGAUUUGAACUUUUGAAACGAUACUAGCGACAACUGGUCUUUGGGUCAAGGGAUAACAAUCAACAACGGGACCGAAGGGGUCACACACAUGGGUAUAGAGUACACUUUGAACCAUGCAUGUCUUGACUUUUGUUUUAUGCAUGAUAUAUGAAUGAUCAUGAUAUGCAAUGCUGACAAUAGGCAGACUGGGAGUUUGUAUGGACUGUUUACAGGGAUUCUAAUUCCUCAACACCAAUAACUCAAACCCGUACAAUUAACAGGCGUAUCCAGAGGAGAAUCUAUCAUGAUUGACAGUUAUAAAUAACCAAAGGUCCAUCCUUCCAGAGGAUUGAUAAGUUGUGUUCCAUGGAGAUUUUUGUUGGUGACACAUGAGCAUUACGCAAUCUUGAGACCUUCAGAAAAACAAAUGAUUUUCUCUUGAUUUUCACAUAUAUCAAAGUAAUUUUGUUCCUUUCACUAAAUUUCAAAUUUGUUUCAAGUUUCAAAAUUUCAUUAUUAACAAAUAAAUAACACUUUGCGUAACAAAGAAAAACAUAGAAGAACACAAUUAACAAUGAUUGAUAGGAAAAACUUGUAUUUUAUUCAAGAAUGGUAACACACAAAUGGCGUAGCUCCAUGGAAUGUUACAAUUUUGAAAAUGGCAAUAAGGAAAGGUUUACGUUGAAUUCAGUGGCCACUAAUAUCCCUAAUAGAUAUGAUUCCCCAAAACCUUACUUCUAAGGGGAGUAACUGGAUUGAUCUUCCGCCUCGAAUUCUUUUGUGUCAAUCAGUAACAACUGAUGCAGUUUAUGCCUUUUGCCCCUAACUUUUGCCUGGAUCUCCCUUUCGGGUUUUCAAUCCACCGGGACGCUUUUUUUUUUUGCCUAAGUUGCCCUUUCAGGUUUUCAACUUAGCGAGCUAUCAUUUUUUUAUUCAUCCCUUAUUUCUGCCUGAAUCACCCCUUCGGGUUUUUGAUCCACCGGGAUACCCUUUUUUUGCCUAAAUCGCCCUUUCAGGUUUUCGACUUAGUGGGUUUUUAUUAGGCAUAGUAUUUUUUAACUGCGUCAGAGUUCACGGGGUGUGAGAGCUCUUCAUCAUCCAUAGUUGUGAGAAUCAAGGCACCUCCGGAGAAGGCUUUCUUCAUAACAUAUGGGCCUUCAUUAUUGGGAGUCCACUUCCCACGUGAGUCCUUGUGUAGUAGCAAGAUCUUCUUGAGCACGAGGUCUCCUUCUCUGAAUUCACGAACAUGUACUUUCUUGCCAAAAGCCCUCUUGAGCCGUUUCUGGUAUAACUGUCCAUGGCACAAAGAAGUCAUUCGCUUCUCAUCUAUGGGGUUUAACUGAUCAAAUCUAUUUUGAAUCCAUUCAGCCUCUUCUAGCUUGGUCUCCAUCAAGAUUCUCAUUAAAGGUAUCUCCACUUCAAUUGGGAGAACCGCUUCCAUCCCAUAUACCAAAGAGAACGGGGUUGCCCCUGUUGAAGUGCGGACGGAAGUCCGGUAUCCAUGCAGUGCAAAGGGUAGCAUUUCGUGCCAAUCCUUAUAGGUUUUCACCAUUUUCUACAGGAUCUUCUUGAUGUUUUUAUUAGCAGCUUCAACAGCGCCAUUCAUCUUUGGACGAUAUAGUGAAGAGUUAUGGUGCUCAAUCUUGAAGCUUUCGCAUAGUUCCUUCAUGGUCUUAUUAUUCAGAUUCGUCCCAUUAUCUGUGAUGAUCCGGCUUGGAACUCCAUAACGGAAAAUGAUCUCUUUCUUGAGGAACCGUGCAACCACUUGUUUUGUCACAUUAUCAUAAGAGGCGGCUUCUACCCAUUUGGUAAAGUAAUCAAUGGCAACCAGGAUGAAGCGGUGACCAUUGGAAGCUUUAGGCUCGAUGGCGCCAAUCAUGUCGAUGCCCCACAUUGACAUUGAGAAAGGCCAAGGUGACGUCAAAACAUUUAGUAGGGUCGGAGGCACGUGUACCUUGUCGGCAUAGAUUUGGCAUUUAUGACAUUUUCUAGCAUAAUUGAAGCAGUUGGAUUCCAUGGUCAACUAGUAAUGACCAGCUCUCAAAAUCUUCUUGGCCAUGGCAUGCCCAUUGGCAUGAGUUCCAAAGGAUCCUUCAUGAAUCUUCUUGAUCAACAAGUCCACUUCACGUCCAUCCAUGCAUCUGAGCAGAAUCAUGUCGUGGUUUCUCUUGUAUAACACGCCAUUGCUUAAGAAGAAUUUGGAUGCUAACUUCCUCAAUGUUUUCUUGUCAAGGGCUGUUGCAUCUGUUGGAUAUUCUUGAUUUUGCAAAAUACAUUUGAUGUCGUGAAACCAAGGUUUACCAUCGGCUUCCUCUUCAAUCAACUGGCAGUAGGCAGGCUCAACUUUCCGCUCGAUCUGAAUGAGAGGCGCUUCAUUAUGGAAUCUAACUUGGUACAUUGAAGCCAACAUAGCCAAAGCAUCAGCAAUUUGAUUCUCAGUUCUCGGUAUACGACGGAAAGUGAUUUCGUCAAAGUAUUUUAUUAGUUCCAUGACAUAGGCACGAUAUGGGAUCAACUUGGUAUCACGGGUUUCCCAUUCGCCCUUGACUUGGUGUAUCACCAAGGCUGAGUCUCCACAUGCUUCGAGGAUUUUGAUUCGGAGGUCAAUUGCUGCUUCAAUGCCUAGGACGCACGCCUCAUAUUCUGCUAUAUUAUUUGUGCAAUCAAAACACAACCUUGCUGUGAAAGGAGUGUACCCACCAUUCGGAUUCAAUAGAACAACUCCUACGCCAUGCCCCAUGUAAUUGGAGGAACCAUCAAACAUGAGCUUCCACCGAGAUCCGGGUUCAGGUCCUUCAUCAAGUCCUGGGAUUUCACAAUCUUUUACUACCAUAAUGUCUUCAUUUGGGAAGUCAAAUUUCAACGGCUGGUAGUCUUCAACAGGUUGGUUUUCCAGGUAAACAUAUAAUACGCUUCCUUUGAUGGCUUUCUGAGAUACAUAUUGGAUGUCAUACUCAGAUAGUAACAUCUGCCAACGGGCGAGUCUUCUAGUCAAAGCAGGCUUUUCAAAGAUAUACUUUAUUGGAUCCAUUUUUGAGAUCAAUAAAGUAGUGUGGAAAAUCAUGUAUUGUCUUAGACGACGAGCGGCCCAUGCUAAAGCACAACAAGUUUUCUCCAAGAGUGAAUAUCGGAUUUCACAAUCGGUAAAUCUCUUACUUAGAUAGUAGAUGGCAUGCUCCUUUCGGCCGGUUUCGUCAUGUUGUCCCAGCAUACAUCCCAUUGACUUUUCAAGUACAGUUAAAUACAUAAAGAGUGGUUUCCCCCGAAUAGGUGGAAUUAGAAUAGGGGGCUCUUGCAGGUAUUGUCUGAUCUUCUCAAAAGCCAUUUGGCAGUCAGAGUUCCAUUCAACUGCUUGGUCUUUUCUCAGCAGCUUGAAUAUAGGUUCAGACGUAGCAGUCAUAUGAGAUAUAAACCCAGAGAUAUAGUUCAAACGUCCCAGGAAUCCUCUAACUUCUUUCUCUGUACGUGGAGCAGGAAUUUCUUGUAUUGCCCUAACCUUGUCUAGAUCUACCUCAAUUCCUCGUUGACUAACAAUGAAACCGAGCAACUUUCCAGAUCGGACACCGAAGGUGCAUUUAGCAGGAUUCAGUCGUAGUUGAAAUUUUCGAAGACGCUCAAAUAGCUUUUGCAAGUGAUCUAUAUGAUCCUCUUCACUUUGGGAUUUUGCAAUCAUAUCAUCUACAUAAACCUCAAUUUCCUUAUGCAUCAUAUCAUGGAAAAGAGUGACCAUUGCUCUUUGGUAAGUUUCCCCAGCAUUUUUGAGACCGAAUGGCAUUACCUUGUAGCAAAAUGUUCCCCAAGGGGUGAUGAAUGUGGUCUUUUCCAUGUCUUCUGGAUCCAUCUUAAUUUGAUUAUAACCCGAGAAUCCGUCCAUAAAGGAGAAGACCGCGAACUUAGCAGUGUUGUCUACCAGAGUGUCAAUAUGUGGCAGGGGGAAAUCAUCCUUUGGACUAGCUUUAUUUAGAUCCCUUUAAUCAACACACAUCCUGACCUUUCCGUCCUUUUUGGGUACUGGUACAAUAUUAGCUACCCAUUGGGGGUACUUCGCAACUGCUAGAAAACCGGCAUGAAAUUGACGUUUCACCUCGUCACAAAUCUUUAGAGCCAUGUCGGGUCUUGCUCUUNNNNNNNNNNNNNNNNNNNNNNNNNNNNNNNNNNNNNNNNNNNNNNNNNNNNNNNNNNNNNNNNNNNNNNNNNNNNNNNNNNNNNNNNNNNNNNNNNNNNNNUUUUGCAAGUGAUCUAUAUGAUCCUCUUCACUUUGGGAUUUUGCAAUCAUAUCAUCUACAUAAACCUCAAUUUCCUUAUGCAUCAUAUCAUGGAAAAGAGUGACCAUUGCUCUUUGGUAAGUUUCCCCAGCAUUUUUGAGACCGAAUGGCAUUACCUUGUAGCAAAAUGUUCCCCAAGGGGUGAUGAAUGUGGUCUUUUCCAUGUCUUCUGGAUCCAUCUUAAUUUGAUUAUAACCCGAGAAUCCGUCCAUAAAGGAGAAGACCGCGAACUUAGCAGUGUUGUCUACCAGAGUGUCAAUAUGUGGCAGGGGAAAUCGUCCUUUGGACUAGCUUUGUUUAGAUCCCUAUAAUCAACACACAUCCUGACCUUGCCAUACCUUUUGGUUACUGGUACAAUAUUAGCUACCCAUUGAGGGAACUUCGCCACUGCUAGAAAACCGGCAUCAAAUUGACGUUUCACCUUGUCACAAAUCUUGAGAGCCAUGUCGGGUCUUGCUCUUCAGAGCUUCUGCUUCAUUGACGGGUAAUCUGGCUGUAGUAGUAGCUUGUGGACAACAAUAUCAGUAUCUAAACCUGGCAUAUCCUGAUAUGACCAAGCAAAUACAUCUACAUAUUCUUGUAGCAACUCGAUCAAUCUUUCUUUGAUGCUUGCCCCAAGUGUAGUCCCAACUUUGACCUCUUUCUUGUCUUCCUUAGUGCCAAGGUUGAUUGUUUCCACUAGUUCUUGAUGCGGCUGAAGGGCUUUUGACUCAUGCUCGAGCAGCCUUUCCAAUUCUUCAGGGAAAUCACAAUCUUCCUCACUAUCCUCUUCCGCUUGGUAGAUGGGGAGUUCAAAGUUAUAGGAAGUAGUGGGGUCAUCGAAUUCAACUAGUUUAUUGGUUAUUCUGCAUGUUUUUUAAAUGAUGGUUUUUUAGAAAAGAUGGAAAUGAAAUGCAAAAGAAUUAAAAAUAUUUUUGUAGUUUUGAAAGGAUUGCCAUUUUAAGGAAAGAAAAACAAAUGAAUGAACGAUAAGAAUUUGAACAAAAUGCUCUUUAUUUGUCAUAAUGAUUUUGAAAUUUAAAGUGGCCCUACAAGUGAUCCAUUAGCCUUGGGCAGAGCUAAGGAUUUUCAAAAAACAAAGGAAAACACAAUUACCUUGACAUAGGAAAAACUUCUGGAAUCUCAACUGCUUCCCAAUUUGUUAAGGCUGCUUCACGCUGGUAUAUCAGAUUUGAUGCUUCUCCAUCUUCAGUGUCAUCUUCAACGACACCAACUUGAUUUCCAUGGAUAAAUCAUGUGCUUAGGAAAAUUUCUUGUAUGCUCCGCACGCGGUCCUUUGCAGGGACCAGGGAUCCUCCCUUAGUAGAAGGCUUGUACCCCAAACCAAAACGAUCAUUUUUCUCGCUGACAUUGAUGACCUGCCCCCAACCUGCAGGGCCUCCACUUUCAACUGCUGACCUUGCACUAUUCAAAGAGGCGAACGACAAACUGGUUUUCCCAAUAGGCUAUUUUACCUCAGCAAGUGUGGCAUUGGAUAUUUCAAGUGCUUGGAAAGAGGUCUCUAAGGCAUCCUCAUCAGCCUCGAUAUAACGGAAAGAGGAGAGUUGACUGAUGAUAAAAUCUUCUUCACCCGAGACAAUUGUCAUCGACAAAACUUCCAUUCGAUGCAAAGUAGCAAGUCACUCUCCCCAGCAGCAUGUAACCAUAGACGUCCCCAAAGGCAACUGUAAGCCGGGAUAUGUCAUUGACUUGGAAUAUUGAUGGGAAUGACAUGCGGUCAGGCGAUUUGGAUUGGUACUUCGACCUCCAACUUACUGUCCUUCGAGAACCAUCAAAUGCUUUUACCACAAGUGCACUAGGUUUCAAUUCCGAACCUUGGUAAGAUAAUUUAGCAAGUGCCCUCUUUGGUAGAACAUUGAGGGACGAUCCAGUGUCAACUAAAACCCUAGCCAGAACAUUUUCUUGCCACUUUAUGGAUACAUGUAAGGCGCGAUUGUGAUUCUUCCCUUCCUUGGGUAGCUCUUCAUUGCUGAAACUUAGAGUGUUGUAGGCUGUGAUAUUGGUGACCACCCCAUCGAAUUGGCCAACCGUUAUAUCUUGGGUAACAUGAGUUUGAGCAAGCACUUUCAGUAGAGCCUCCCUAUGAGCUUGGGAAUUCAGAAGCAAGGACAAGAUAAAUAUUUUUGACGGUGUCUGAUGUAACUGAUCGACUAUCUUGUAGUCACUUUUCUUUAUUAUUCUUAGAAAUUCACUCGCUUCAUCUGCUUGCACUGCCGGCUAUGCCCCUCCAUACUCUGGGGCUAAAUUUGCAGUUACAGUUUCCCUUGUUGGUUCUUGAGGAAUUAUAUUAACAUUGGGAGUAUAAAUCCGACCGCUGCGGGUCAUUCUGCUCGUCCCUGCGAUGCUAGUGAUAUUGGUGUCAAUAUUCUCCAAGCUUUUCUCACCUUCAACAUCUUUGGGUUCUUCAUCUACCACUCCAUCUACCACAGUUAUGUCAUAUUCCCAAGGUACCGCUUUGGUGCUUUCAAAGGGAAAGGGGGUAGGCAUACAAACUACCACGGGUGAUGGAUGAACAACAUCUUUUCUUUGAUAAGUUAUCUCAACAGGUUCUGGUAGAUUGAAAAAGGGUAUUGGUGCUUUCAAAGGGAAAGGGGGUAGGCAUACAAACUACCACGGGUGAUGGAUGAACAACAUCUUUUCUUUGAUAAGUUAUCUCAACAGGUUCUGGUAGAUUGAAAAAGGGUUCAAUGACUGAAACUUCCUCGUUUGUUACAGGACCACAAACUUGUAAAACACCUUGAUCCAUCAAGUUUUGAAUAUCAGUUCGUACCACUUUACAUCCCCUUGGAUGAACGACACAUUCUUCACAGUUGUCGUGACAUGUAUCAAUCGAACUAGCUCCCACCAAUCUUGCAUGGAGUGCUAGCAACGGAGUUUUAACAUCUUCAACAUUUUUGAUUAUACAAACAUCAGAAGCAUCCUCAACGGCAUUAACAUCACCAUGCGCCGGUAGAGGGUUACUUUUUACGUUGGGUCCAACAUCUCGGAAUGAAAGGAUCUUCUUCUCAACCAGCUCUCGCACAAUAUGCUUCAAAGCAUAACAUCCCUCUAGAUCAUGCCCAGGGGAACCCUUAUGGAAAGGACAAUGGGCAUCUUGGUUGUACCAUGGAGGUAAGGGAUUUGGUGGAGGACCCAAAGGUCUGGGAGUCACCAACCCUUUCUACAGUAACGAUGGGUAUAACUCAGUGUACUUCAUAGGGAUUGAAGCGAAAGGAGGUCUACCUCUUUGUACCCUAUUUUGAUUUGGAAUAUUUUUUGGACGUGAAGCCUGUGCCCUCGGCUGUUGAUAAGAGGGUGGCAUGGAUGCUUGCUGGUAUACUGGUGCUUGUUGAAUAGGUUGAUAGACAGGAGCUUGUGAUUGGUUGAAAUUUGGUGUGACUGCUGCCACAUACGGUUGUUGAAUAUAUUGCACUGGAUAAGUUGGUUGUUGCUGAGAAAAUUGAUGUUGCUUCUUCCUAGAAUGACUCCUUCUUUGACUGGUUGACAUUGCGUUUAUUUCACCCUCUUUCUUCCUUUGGAAACUUCCAGAAAACUUUUUGACAUUAUUACCAGAUGUUUUAGAGGUGGUUAUCAUUUUUCCAUUCUUCAAUCCAAGCUCGACCUUUAUGCCCACAACAAACAAGUCAGAGAAGCUUGCCGAUACACUAAUCACCAUCCUUUUAUAGAACAUGGGCUUUAUUGUAUCCAUGAACCAAUCUGCUAACUCCUUCUCAACAAGGGGUGGUUCGACUUGCGAGGCCACUUCCCUCCAUUGUUAUGCAUAUUCCUUAAAAGACUCGUUAUCUUUCUGGGACAUGCUGAGCAAUUGCCUCCUAUCCGGGGCCAUAUCCAUGUUAUACUUAUAAUGUUGGAUGAAAGCAUCAGAUAAGUCUUGGAAACAACGAAUUCUACUUUGAUCAAGGCUUAAGUACCACUUAGAGGGAGCACCCCUCAAGUUGUCUUGGAAGCAAUGUAUCAUAAGUUUAUCGUCCUCCACGUGCGCCGCCAUUUUUCGAUAGUACAUAAUAAGGUGACUUUUAGGACAUGAGUGGCCCUCGUACUUAUCGAAAUCCGGGGUCUUGAAUUUUGCGGGAAUCACGAGACCAGACACUAGGCACAUCUCCCUAGCAGCAACACCAAAAACUUGGUCACCUUCCAUAGCCCUUAACCUUUUCUCAAGAAUAUGAAAUUCUCUUUCAUCCCUCUUAUGUCUUCCUGCCUUUCAUCCUCUUCGUCCGAAAAGUCUGGGGCAUGCUGUUGAUCCUCAAAAUAAGGUUGCACGUGUGUACGGGCGAGAGGUGGUGCAAACGUGUGGACCACUGGAUGAGUUUCAUCGAUAGUUGGUAGAGGAGUCGUCUGCUGAGUGGAUUGUACAAAACCAGGGGUGCCUUCAACUGGAGGUGUGAAACCGGGAGGUAAACCAUAGACUGGCCAGGUGGUUGGUACUUUCCUUGCAGGUUCGGGUUCAAUCGUAGGACCGGUGAUUUCUGAAACGACCGUCGUUUGGGUGUCCAACUUAGCCCUAAUGACUUGUAGUAUCUCCAUGACUUGACCCAUGUUUCCUCAUAGGUCUUCGAGUUCUGAGCUUACUCUCUCCAAUUCUUGUUCUUGAUCCGCCAUUCUUUGACGAGCGUUGGCUCUGGUGUUGUAGUGGUGUUGAGGACUCAGUGUGGAACUGAAGAAGACACAAAAAUGCGUUUUUUGUUUGAAGAACGACAUGAGUGUAUGUUAUGGGUGCAUUUUGUACAAAGCUCUUAGUUAUCUUUAUUAUUUAUUCCAGCAAUGUUAGAAUAUAAGAAUAACAUGUAAUAAUUGAGACCCAAAAUGACAACUUCCAUUAAUUAAAAUCAAAUUCGAAUACAAAAGAUUUAACUUCAAGUACACAUGAUUCGAAUACAAAAAGAUUUAAACACCAACAAUUCAAAUUCAAGUACAAGUAAACUUAAGCUCUGUCUCAGCUCUUAUGAUUGUACCAAGAUCUGUGGUGAGCUCCUUCAUCAUUUUCUUGAUAAACUUGACGAAAUUGAAAACUUGAGGAGGCGUGUUUUCUGGACACAUACACCAAUCUUCUUCCUGGAGUUUUUCUGGGAGUUCCAACAUGUUGAGGUUAACAAACCUAGCUAAGUCGCGGAACUUGCCAUUCCAUUCAACAUAGAGUUCUUGGAGUUUCUUGAUGACCUGUUGAUCUUCAUCUAAGGUUGCUCUAGCCUCUCUAUACAAACUUUUCCAGUACACACAAUCAUUCUUUUGGAGCAAGUAAGCUGCAUCACCUUCUUGGCUCUCCAAAACUGCAAACCUCCUAUUGGCUUCUUCCAACUGGUACCUGAGAUGGUGACAGUUUCUUUCAGCUUCUUCCUUUUGGAGUAUCUCGCGCGACAACUUUUCCUUGCAUUUCUUUAGAGUGUCCCUCAGUUCACGGAUCUGAGCCUCAAAGUCGAGCUUAAUUUCUUUCUUAUCCAUAAGGGAUUUAUCCAACAUUCUCCCUAACUCACAGAUCCUAUACUCAACUUUCUUGAGCUCUUCCUUCCUGGUUCGGAUCACUAAUAUGGAACCUAUAAGGAUAUGAUCAAGAUCAUCCUUCUGGUCUUCCAAUAGUCUGGCUCUCUUGUUACUAUCCUCAAGUUCUUGGGCUUUUCCCUUACGUUCGUCUUUCAAAUUCUAAUUUUCCAAGAUAACUCGGUUCAUCUGAAUCCGUAAUUCAGUAUUCUCCAAUUCGAGCUCCUUAACCUUAGUAGUGGGUUUCUCCAUGUCCUCAAGGAGUAUGGGCUUGGGCUCAGGAGUUUUGGGAAAGGCUAAAGCCUUUAAGAUAAAUGGCAAAUGGAUUUCCCCAACUCUUUCUUUCACCCAUCGAGUGUAAGGUUCUCUGGCGAGAAUGUUUCUUUUUCUAAACUCUUUACCCUUCCUAACAACCUUUAACCAAGCCUUUCGUACUGCUCUUACAUCAGGAUUGCUUGCUUCGAUGUCAAAGAGCACAAAUGGUUGUAAGUCCUUUACGUCAGGAGGACCGUCCAUGCAGUAACCGUGUUGCAUUCGAGAUAACAUAGGGUUAUAAUUGAUGCAACCCUUGGUACCCAACAACGGUACAUUAGGAAAUUCCCCACAGCUGACUAUAAUGUCUGGGGUUUCCCACUCUCGGAUAUAACCUUGGUACCCAACAACGGUACAUUAGGAAAUUCCCCACAGCUGACUAUAAUGUCUGGGGUUUCCCACUCUCGGAUAUACCAUCUGAUGGAACUUGCAGUGAGAGAAGCUAAUUUUUGAGGAGACUUAAGUUCUUUUGCCACAAAAGGACCUUCUUCGGGCAUGUGUUGCAUGAACCAAGUAUAAAGCAAAGGAGCAUAACACAACAAAGUUCUACCCCUCUUUUCAUGUCGAGCGUGAAGGGCAUGGUAAAUGUCAGAUAAGAGAAAUGGUACUGGAUUGCCAGAGAGAAAGACUUCUAUGGCUACCUGAUCCAUAAAUUUUUCAACAUUUGGGAAGAGCAUAAUCCCAUGGAUCAAUAAAGCCAACACAGCAUAGAAUGCAUUCCAAUUUCCGCUUUUCUUGAACUUCAGAGCUAAAUCUUCCAAAAACAUCGCGGCAAAACCUUCGCAACCCCCUUUUUCAACUCAAUUGCCUCGAACAGUCGGGACAUUGAUACUUAGGGAUGAAGCUAUCUUUUUUGGGCCCGCCUCUUCUUCGAGCUUUGGAAAUGGACUGAAAUCCUUCAAUUUGAGACCCACGAUCCUCUCAACUUCUUCCAAAGUAGGAGCUAGUUGGAAAUCAGCGAAUGUGAAACAGCGUAGAGGUGGAUCAGAAUAUUGUUCCAAAGAGCCGAUAAUCCCAUAGUCAACUUUCUUAGUUAGAAGGCUCAAAAGUUUCCCAUAAUUUUUCCGAACUCAUCACGUCUACUUAGAGUCAAAUCAGAGACCAAACCCUUCAGACUGUCCAGCUUAGGUUCCUUGUACUUAAGCAUGAAAGUGUGUCUCCUUGGAGUUGUCAUUUUCAAGUUCUCAAUUCCUGAAACAAAUAAGAGACAACUAAGAGCUUGCUUUUUAUGAUGUUGAUGCAAUGUAUGUGGAUGAAUGUGAUGCAUUUUUGUAUAAGUUCAAUAGGCUUAAGGCCUGGAUAAGUCUGAUUGCUUCGUAUAGAACAUGGUUCUCACCAGGUAUGAUCUAAGGUUUCAAAAAAGUUCCUAGAGUCAGGGAUCCAUUAGACUGUUCGCUAUCGGUGGCAACUUACUUGCCGGGCAUCAACUCCAUAUAAAGAAUCUACUCUAAGUGAGGUUCUCGCAUCAAUCCAACGAGAAAUUCAUCUCGCGGACCCAUGCUACGCAACCAUCCUUCCUAGUUGGACAAAGAACUAAGGUUCUACAAAUGGCUCUCAGAGUCAUGGAUCCUAAAGAAAAUAUCGAAGCUUACGGCAACUUAUUUGCCGAGCGACAACAUCCUCUCAAGAAUCUACUCUAAGUAAGAUUCUCGCACCGACCCAACGAGAAUUCAUCUCGCGGACCCGCACUACUCAACCUCGUCCUAUCUUAUGUUUUUACUCGAGACUGGGGUAAAAAGUCUUUCCCACAAGGUUUGCAAUCAGAGUAUCUCCAAGUACCAAAGCAUAUCGAACCAAUAUAAAAGAUUUAUACCAAUAGGAUAAUAAAUAUAGCAAAACAAUAAAGAAAAAGCCACACAGGUAAACAAACAAAAGCACGCAAACGACCUAACCAGGCUUGACUCACUUAGGGAGAAUCUCGUCCCCAGCAGAGUCGCCGUCUGUCGUACCUCAAUGAAAAAUAUGAGAGUACAACUUAAGCGAAGCGCAAUCGCGCGCUCGCAAUGAUGGACUGAACAGAGUCGCCACCGAACUUUAUUUAUUCCUAAAAAGGAAAGGGGAAAUAUCGAUAAAACCCAAGAAAGAACGACAAUGUAAUACCAGCAGCGUUGGUUUAGUCCCAUCGGGAGUCGAUUACGCAAGGGGAAGGUAUUAGCACCCCUCACGUCCGUUGUACUCAACGGGAACCAUUAGGUUAAUUGUGCGCGUUAGUGUUAGCUUGGAAUGUUGGGCUUCUCGAGUUAUUAGGUGGGAAAGAAAGAAUAGAAGAGAGAAGAAUGUUUUUGGAUUUUUGACGAAGGACUAAACCUAAAAUUUUUAUUAGUGGGCCUGACAAGAUUUACAAAUCCUGCUCCUACGUAUCUCAAUAGAGGAGUCAAGGCUUACGUAGUUCUGGAUAGAAAAAAAAAUUUGUUUGUUGGUUUAUUUUAGCGAAAGCUAUAUUGUAUUAAUUGACGAAAACAUUGUUUUACCUAAAACAGAUGAGGAGCGGACGUAUACCACACAUCGAAUGGAUUUACAAAUCAACAUUCGGAAAAAACGUCACUUAUCUUGACUCAACAAUCGUGGCCGAAACAUUGUUUUGCAUCACCUUAAGACAAUAUGUAUUUCUUUUAUGAAAAAGGUUUUUGAUUAAUCAUACGACGGCGAGAAAGGGUUUGAUUGGUUGGAUGUAUUUUCGAGUAAUGCCGAGAACUUGGAUGAGCAAGAUAUCCAUCUCGAAUCCUAGUCUCAGGAGUGCGUGGUAUCCACCACGUUCCAUUUCCAUAUUAAUUGAAAACGUGUUUAAUAAAGAUUAAGUGUUUUGAAUUUGAUUGAGAAAAGGUUUGAAGAAACCGCAUUGACAAUUUUAAAUGAUGGCGAGAGCUAAGAUAGGCGAGGCAUCCACCUCGAAUCUUAAUCUCAGGAAUGCACGGUAUACACCAUGUUCCAUUUCCAUCUCUAUUGAAAGAGGUUAAGAUCGGAAUUAAGUAUUUUGAAGUUUGAAAGACGAGUACUUGUGACUUACAAGCUCUUACAGCUUGGGUCUAAUACUCGGGACAUGCGUCUGGAUAUUCCACCCAGGCAGUCUGUUUCUUUGUUAAGAAAAUGGUUCGAAUAUUUACGAAUGUUUACCUCCCUUCUGCUUAUAAAUUGGCUUGCAAGCUCUUACAGCUUGAGCCUAAUAUUCGGGAUUAUAACUGGAUAUUCCAUCCAGGAUAAUCUUUUUCUUCAACUUUAUUAAGAAGAUGGUUUGAGAUAUUUACAGGCGUUUUGGAGAGAAGACGAAUAUUUAUGGCUUACAAGCUCUUACAGCUUGAGCCUAAUAUUCGGGAUUACGACUGGAUAUUUCAUCCAAGAUAAUCUUUUUCUCCAAAUUUUAAUAAAAAAGAUACGUUUGAAUAGAAGGAUUAAUGUGAGUGUUUGAGGUGUUGGUCAAUUAAAUUGAUAUGGCGCAUGAGUUCGUGAAGAAUAUGUCCAAAAGUAAGUCGGACGAAAUAAAUAAAUAAACAAAUUAUUUAUAACAUAUUAAAAAAAUUAAAUCGGAAAGAAUAAAAUCAACAAGCGUAAAAAAAAGACUAGAUAGCAAGGUACAAAAAUGGUAAAGUAAAUAGUAAGAAGUUAUAAAAGAUUUAAAUAAAAUAGCAAGCACAAAAAUGAAAAUAUGAAGAUAUGUUAUUCCCAAGUAUGGAACUCAUCCCACUAAAGCAAGUGAAAUUGCUUCCUCUCCACUCGGCCACUUAUGUCCAUUUGUUACCUUAACAACAACUUAAAUAUAUAAAUAGGCAUAGAUAAAGAUAAAUUUAAAAUAAAAAAAAACUAGCUAAAACGAUAUGGGCCUGGGUCUGUGAAGAUUUGUCUCACCAUUAAUGGUCCAAACACAAAAAUAAGCAAAGGAGACUAACAGACCAAAACCCUAGUCGCCUGGCUGUUGGGUAUGGACUAUGAAGAUUCCCAACACUAGUAAUUGCUGUCAGUAAUUAAUAAAAGGUUAAUGCAAAAGAAAACCAACAGGUAGACUUAAAGAGGGCACAGUAAAAUAAAAGAUGACAUUAGAUGGAAUAAAGUUAUUCCCAAAACCAUUAAUCAUCACAGAGAAGUAAAGUAAACUUUUUAAACAAAAAAAAAUCAGAAGCUAUAACCAUGGACGAAAGAGGAAGCGGGAGAAACAGGGGAAUGAUCGUCCCUUUCCUUCGAUCAAAAGGUUUUUCUCUCUCAUAAACAAAACCGAUUCCCUUCUCCACUUACAGUUACAAAGAAACCUUCACAACACAAUUCAAACAUCGGCUAAGAGUAAGAUUCGAGAAUGGCACUAACCAGCUGCAACGAAGUCGGCCAACGAAUGAGCAGGUAAGAGUCUUGCUGAAUCUUCUUCACAAUGUUCCUUUCCUACGGGUUCGUCCGUUAUCAACCACCGGUCACUUUUGGUUAUUGAAAUUUUUAGGGUUUCUCCUCUCUCUUCAGUAGCCGUCAAUACUCUUCUCUAGGGUUUUUUCGUGGUCGUCCUCUGGUGGAGGAGGAGGCUCCUUUUAUACUCACCCUGUUUAGGGUUUUUGAGCUGGCUAUGGAGAUCAAAAGGGUAAUGCUUUUGGAAGUGCUUUAGGGUGCUCACAGUUUGUCUACAUUAUUCGGUGUUUGAUCUGGAACAGGUAAUACAAAUCCUAUACUUUCUUCUUUGAAUUUGUCCUAAUUCCUUUUUGGGUUAUUUGUUAACUUUUACCGCCGGUAAAUGGCUUUUUACCGCUGUGAAUUUUAUCGGAAUAUUCAUGUGUGGUUUGAUGCUUGCAGGAGAAAACGUUGAGCUUGCGAGCAUGGCUUUGAUUUUUUUUUUGUGUUGAUGCUGUGGUGUAUGGUCUUUGGAAAAAGAGUUGUGAGAUCCUGUUGAAACUAUAGCAACUUGGGGAGCGGACUGCUGUAUGUGGCCUCCAUUAGAAGAGGCAUUUGAACUAUUGUGUUUGAUUGAUUUCUGGCGAGUUGAUCCCAUAUUGUUUAAAUUUACAUGAUCUUCAACUUGUCACUGCGUCUGGGAAGAGGAAGAAGGCAUGCUUUCCAUACCCUGCGAUUGAGAAACAGAAGAUCCAUCUAACAAACCCUUUGAUGACUCCGAUUUCGUAAAAGCUCUAGCCGAAUCAGACAAUGUUGGCCAAGAGUGUGCAUCCAUAACCGGCCGUACCUCCGAAGCUGCACCAUUGGAGGAAGGCUUAAUCCAAGCAGGUCUUGUGCAUAUAUGUUCAUAGUUGAAAAAUGGUUUCCAAUUUGUCGAACAAAUUUUGAUGGCGGUUCACAAGGUGUCAUCUAUUUAGCUUUUGCUGCACCCAAAAUCCCCGUGCUACUGAAUAUAGAAGCCUUGCAAGAGUACUCAGUUGAAGGUGUGAGGUUUUCUAAUUUGAAUCUUUUCUCGGGCCUCAAAACAAUGAAAGUCGGUUGUUCGAGGUAGUCCGUUGAUGAUAUUCUGUGCCAAAGCCUGCAGCCUAGAAAGUUCUUUAAGAGUUUGUCUUUGUAUUCAAGCACAAUGACCACUGAGGUGGGAAGACACUCUUCGAAAUGUAAAGAACAUGUUGGUGCUUCUUUCUUUUCUUCACAACUAGAAAAGAG
rnacentral:lncRNA from 1 species